UACGUAGGGGGCUAGCGUUGUCCGGAAUCAUUGGGCGUAAAGAGCGUGUAGGCGGCCCUGUAAGUCCGCUGUGAAAGUCAAGGGCUCAACCCUUGGAUGCCGGUGGAUACUGCAGGGCUAGAGUCCGGAAGAGGCGAGUGGAAUUCCUGGUGUAGCGGUGAAAUGCGCAGAUAUCAGGAAGAACACCCGUGGCGAAGGCGGCUCUCUGGGACGGUACUGACGCUGAGACGCGAAAGCGUGGGGAGCGAACAGG
rnacentral:rRNA from 1 species